AGCCCCGGCCCCGCGCUGCUCCGACCGCAGCCCCGCAGCCACAUCGCGCUCCGGAGCGCAGCGGCUCUCCCUGCCCCCGUACCGCCCGCCCCUGCAGCGCUCAGCCCCAUCCCUCCCCCUGCAUUUCGCUUUUAAACUGCAGCUGUUGAAGCUAAACCUCCUUUGCAGAAACAGCAUUUCCUCCCACGUGGCCGUGAAUUGUGGGUAAUGUAGUUUUUCUGCAAAUAAAAGGAUGUCUGCGAAGGGUGCUGUUACCAGCCUUGAAACAGAGGGAAAAAACUAAGAAUGAGUCCAGGAGGUACAGGAAAGAAUGAAAUGAGCAUCUCCCAAUGAAAAAUCCAGUUUCUUCAGCAACCUCCAGAAGGUGCUGAAAUACUUUGACAUUUUCCAAGACUCUUUCACACCUUUCAAACAAGCUUGUCACAGUUUCUCGGAGCAUUAUGAAUUUGGUGAAGCUGCAUGUUCUGAGAUCCCAGCUCCUCUCUAGUUUCACCCAUGCUUUGCUUCAACUUGGCAUUCUCCAGUGUUCUGGUCAACUAGGAAAUGGCAUUAUAUCACUCUAAUUAAAUCAGCUUUUCAUCUUCAGCUGGAGUUUGCCUUGGUGUUGGCCACGCCUGCCUCCAUCGCUCCGGUCAGUGUGAUUAAAUCACUGUGCUCUCCACCAGGCAUCAUGCAGCGUGGUUGCUGUGCCUUGCUGGUGGAAUUGGUUUUUGAGGCCAAGUACCAGCUGGGAGGAGCUGGUGAUGCUGGGGGUUGCUUUCCUUCCACUGUGUGCUUGAUGCUCCAUCCAUCACUGCCCUGCAGUGUGGUCCCAUCAGCCUCGUGCUUUCCAGGCUUGCUGAAAGGCAGAGUCUCCUCUUCCCAAUGAAAGAGAACAGCCCCACUGAUGGGACACUGCUGCUCUCCUCUCCCUCUCUGCUCUCACCACGAGCAGUGCGUGCUUCCUUCACCCCUGUCACAUUCUGGCCCCAGUGUGUGCCAUGCAGAGCAAAGCCCCACGUCCACAAACGUGUCAGAGGACAGACAGGCACCAGAUGAAAGCAGCUCCCAGUGCUUGCAGGGUAUUUUUUCCCAGUGACACCUCCCGAGGAACGUGCUCAGUAAUAGCUCAGCAUCCCCAGCAGGGGAGGGGACAAGAGGUGACGAGCCAAGCCGCUCUAUUUCUGCAGGUUCCUGGCCACCACCACAUUAACUCUUUGCACACAGAUGCUUGCAAGGAGCCUUGCACCACAGCAGCCCUGCAGCAGGUGGCAUCGAGGUGUGCUCAUGGGCUGCCUCAGCCCCAACAGAAAUUCCUGAGCUGGAAGGAGCUGCACUGACGUGUUGGGAAGGAGGGGAAGAGCUCUUCCUGCAGCCCACAGGCACUGUCACAUGCUCGAGAUAGGCUCCUGGAGGAUGUGAUUCAGAAAUAAGUUGAUGUGUGUUAUUUUCCUUUGAUUCAUAAGCAAAACCCAAGAGAGAGUGAGGGCUCCAGCACGGAUUUGCUGGCCCAGCAUGGCAGUGUGGGGGUCAGAUGGGCACAGACCAGGUGUGCGGCUCAGCUCGAGGAUUUGGAGAACCACAGACAACAAGCACACAGUUCUGCUUGCUGCCUCACAAAGCCAAGAACCACUUUUAAUUUAGCACUCAGGCUCUUCUGUACAUUUUGGAUAAGGCUUUUAAAGAGACGUGGGUGCUGUUUCAUAGUGUUACCUGUACUAACAUUGACCUUUAUAACUCCUCAUUCCUAUGGGUAAGCAGCACCGGAUCCAGGAGAUGUACCCAUUUUGCUGCUUGGUGCCACGCUCACCUUCCCCACCUCCCUCUGCAGGAGCCCAGGGCUGCAGUGCUGCCAUGCUGGGGCUGAUGCCACCACUGCUGUGUGCAGCUCGGGGACGGGCACUGCUGUCACCUGCUCUGAGCGCGGGGUCUGCGAUGCGAUGCGGGAUGACACGGCAGAAAGGCGUGCUGUAUUUAGGGCACGCUCAGCGCCGGGGGCAGGGGGAUGGGAAUUCAUUAGCAGUGCAGUGUCUCUUUUAAUCAGAAGGCAGGUGCUGCUCGGCUGGGGCUGGAGGCAGGGCAACGAUGGAUGCCAUGCAGGGGCAUGUGCUGAGCCGGGGGAAGGGAUGGGGCUGGGGGUGUUUGCAAGGCGUCCACAUCAGGAAGAGGGGAAUGUUAUUGAGGGUGCUCCUGCGGGGAGGAAACAGAACAGAGCGGGCCAGGAGGGAUCCAGGUUGUGCCCUUUGCAGGGAAGUCACCGAGUGACUGCCACAGCACUGUGAUCACUCCCAGCACUGAUGCUCUCUUCCAGUGAUGAUGCUCUGAUAUUAAAAUGUGUAUUACGCUACCAAAAAA